rnacentral:rRNA from 1 species
UACGUAGGGUGCGAGCGUUAAUCGGAAUUACUGGGCGUAAAGUGUGCGCAGGCGGCCGAGCAAGUCGAGUGUGAAAGCCCCGAGCUUAACUUGGGAACUGCGCUCGAAACUACUUGGCUAGAGUGUGGCAGAGGGAGGUGGAAUUCCACGUGUAGCGGUGAAAUGCGUAGAGAUGUGGAGGAACACCUAUGGCGAAGGCAGCCUCCUGGGCCAACACUGACGCUCAUGCACGAAAGCGUGGGGAGCAAACAGG